CAUGUCGUUUUAACUUAAGUAUUGUUGUUAUAUUCUGAUAGCUAUCAUUUUUUGUUGAUGUUCUUUCCAAUGGUUAGAUAUCACCAACUGAAAUUCGCGGCACACUUGGAUCUAUCAGGAAAUCCUUUAUGGUAUGUUUUUCUUGCAUGAUACCUACAUGACGGGAAGGUAGCUUUGAUGUUUAGGGAGAUAUGAAUGUACCAAAGAAGUUGAUAGACACUGUUCAAAGGUGCUAAGACUGAUACUACAUAUUUAGUGCAUUUUCCUCUUACCAGCCAAUCUGCCAAAAGUACGCUUAUAUUUAGAAAUUCUGCCUGAUCAAAUGAUUGAAUAAGUUUGUCCUUAAAAAUUGCUGCAUCUCUUGUUAAACAAAAGGGCAUAAGGAAUGAGGACCAGUUUCAGAAUACGACCCCUUGGAUACUAAUAAAAUCCUAUAUAUCGUACCCCUUGUUUUUGGAUCAUCCCAUUGUAAGUAACUUUUGAGGAAGUUGACAGAGUUUUUUGUAACCACCACUCUUUCUUUUGUAUUCUCUUCCCUCUUUUAUCAGGUAGAGGACAAUGUUUGGCAUUGCAAUUAUCCCAUCUGUUCUAUUGGCACUAGGAAUGGCAUUUUCUCCAGAAAGCCCUAGGUGGCUUUAUCAGCAAGGAAAAUUUUCUGAAGCAGAAAUGGCAAUAAAAAGACUGUUUGGAAAGGAAAGAGUAGCUGAGGUAAUGAAUGACUUCAGUGCAACAAGUCAAGGGUCCUCAGAACCAGAAGCUGGGUAGUUUGAUCUUUUCAGUAACCGAUAUCGGAAAGGUAUACCCAGAAAAGAAGGGAAGCUAUUGAUACUGGAUGACAUACAGUCACAUGCAGAAUGUGCAUUUGAGAAUUUAUAGUUCAGUGUCAAUAAUAUCUAUAAUGAUACUAGACGUACAAUGAGAUAUGCCCCGUAUAGUUAUUUUAAUGGCUAAGUAAAAAUGGCUUGCUCCCAUGUUAAGGUUG